UACGUAGGGUGCGAGCGUUGUCCGGAAUUACUGGGCGUAAAGAGCUCGUAGGCGGCUUGUCGCGUUGUUCGUGAAAAUUUACCGCUCAACGGUGAACUUGCGGGCGAUACGGGCAGGCUAGAGUACUGCAGGGGAGACUGGAAUUCCUGGUGUAGCGGUGAAAUGCGCAGAUAUCAGGAAGAACACCGGUGGCGAAGGCAGCUCUCUGGGAAUAUCCUGACGCUGAGGAGCGAAAGUGUGGGGAGCGAACAGG
rnacentral:rRNA from 1 species